rnacentral:rRNA from 1 species
GGACUCGCACAAGCGGUGGAACAUGUGGUUUAAUUCGAUGGCAAACGAGGAACCUCACCAGGGCUUGAAAUGCUUCUGAAGGCAGUUCGAAAGGAUUGCCGUCGCUCGCAAGAGUGACAGGAGCACAGGUGCUGCAUGGUUGCCGUCAGCACGUGUCGUGAGACGUUCCCUUCAAUGGGGUAACGUGCGCAACCCUCGCCUCGUGUUUUAUGUGUCACGAGGGACUGCCGUGGUAUACACGGAGGAAGGUGAGGACGACGUCAAAUCAGCAUGGCCCUCUGAUGCCCUGGGCUACACACAUGUUACAAUGGUUGUAAACAACGGGCUUGCCAAGCCGCAAGGCGGAGCUAAUCCCUAAAACACAACCUCAGUUCAGAUUGCGGGCUGAAACUCGCCCGCAUGAAGCUGGAAUCGCUAGUAAUCGCGGAUCAGAAUGCCGCGGUGAAUACGUUCUCGAGUCCU